UACGAGGGGAGCAAGCGUUGUUCGGAUUUACUGGGCGUAAAGGGCGCGUAGGCGGCGUGACAAGUCACUUGUGAAAUCUCCGGGCUUAACUCGGAACGGUCAAGUGAUACUGUCGUGCUAGAGUACAGAAGGGGCAACUGGAAUUCUCGGUGUAGCGGUGAAAUGCGUAGAUAUCAGGAGGAACACCCGAGGCGAAGGCGGCUCUCUGGGUCGUACCUGACGCUGAGGCGCGAAAGCGUGGGGAGCGAACGGG
rnacentral:rRNA from 1 species